AAUUAUCAAGCUUUUGCCCCUUUUAAAAUUUCUGUCACAGAAAGGGAAAGGGCCAAGAUUGGAUUUUAUGGGAGGGUGCUGGCAUGGCCUUGCUUGUAUCAGCUCUCCUUAAAAGUAUGAGCAUUAAGAUCAUUUGUUGAUCAUCCUCAAUAUGAUAACUUUUUAUCUAUAUUGUUGGUUGAAUCACCUUGUUCCUCGAGAAAGAUCUUGACGCAUUAAACUUCACAACACAU
rnacentral:misc_RNA from 1 species